rnacentral:rRNA from 1 species
GCUGACGAGUGGCGGACGGGUGAGUAAUGUCUGGGAAACUGCCUGAUGGAGGGGGAUAACUACUGGAAACGGUAGCUAAUACCGCAUAACGUCGCAAGACCAAAGAGGGGGACCUUCGGGCCUCUUGCCAUCGGAUGUGCCUAGAUGGGAUUAGCUUGUUGGUGGGGUAACGGCUCACCAAGGCGACGAUCCCUAGCUGGUCUGAGAGGAUGACCAGCCACACUGGAACUGAGACACGGUCCAGACUCCUACGGGAGGCAGCAGUGGGGAAUAUUGCACAAUGGGCGCAAGCCUGAUGC